GUGUGGCGAAGGUAACCCGUUAAGCAAGCUGCCUGGAAAGUACGGCCGCAAGGAUGAAAUUCAAAGGAAUUGGCGGGGAGGCACACAACCAGUGGAACAUGUGGUUUAAUUCGAGACUAACCGAAGAACCUCACCAGGGUUUGACAUGUAGCUGCACGUCUUAAGAAAUUAAGACUCUCUUGAAGGUGCUACACAGGUGCUGCAUGGCUGUCGUCAGCUCGUUCCGUGAGGAGUGCCCUUAAGUGGGACAACGAGCGCAACCCCUAUUACAUGUUAGAAAUGUCAUGUAAGACUGCCUUGCCAUUUGGCGGGGAGGAAGGAGGGGCAGACGUCAAGUCCGCAUGGUCCUUAUGCCCUGGGCUACACACAUGUUACAAUGAGUACGGCAAUGAGUCUGUCGCGAGCACGUAAGUGUAAGCUAAUCUCUUAAAUGUACUCUCAGUGGGGAUUGAGGUCUGCAACUCGACCUCAUGAACACGGAAUUGGUAGUAAUCGCGGGUCAGCUAUACCGCGGUGAAUACGUUCUUGCCUCUUGCACACACCGCCCGUCAAACCAGCAAAGUCGAUUGUAUCCGAACCUCUCUUUUUGAGUGGGAGGAUGUGGUUGGUGAUGAGGGUUAAGUCGUAACAAGGUAACC
rnacentral:rRNA from 1 species